AUUGAACGCUGGCGGCAUGCCUUACACAUGCAAGUCGAACGGUAACAGGUUAAGCUGCCGAGUGGCGAACGGGUGAGUAAUACAUCGGAACGUGCCCAGUAGUGGGGGAUAGCCCGGCGAAAGCCGGAUUAAUACCGCAUACGACCCAAGGGUGAAAGGGGGGGAUCGCAAGACCUCUCGCUAUUGGAGCGGCCGAUGUCAGAUUAGCUAGUUGGUGGGGUAAAAGCUCACCAAGGCGACGAUCUGUAGCUGGUCUGAGAGGACGACCAGCCACACUGGGACUGAGACACGGCCCAGACUCCUACGGGAGGCAGCAGUGGGGAAUUUUGGACAAUGGGCGCAAGCCUGAUCCAGCCAUGCCGCGUGCGGGAAGAAGGCCUUCGGGUUGUAAACCGCUUUUGUCAGGGAAGAAAUCCUUUGGGUUAAUACCUCGGGGGGAUGACGGUACCUGAAGAAUAAGCACCGGCUAACUACGUG
rnacentral:rRNA from 1 species